CCAACGGUCCUCUUUAGGGCCACCAAAAUCACAAACCAAAACUCAU
rfam:Anisakis simplex genome assembly, scaffold: ASIM_scaffold0000488